rnacentral:rRNA from 1 species
AGAGCUUGCUCUCCGGGUGGCGAGUGGCGGACGGGUGAGGAAUACAUCGGAAUCUACCUUGUCGUGGGGGAUAACGUAGGGAAACUUACGCUAAUACCGCAUACGACCUACGGGUGAAAGUGGGGGACCGCAAGGCCUCACGCGAUUAGAUGAGCCGAUGUCGGAUUAGCUAGUUGGCGGGGUAAAAGCCCACCAAGGCGACGAUCCGUAGCUGGUCUGAGAGGAUGAUCAGCCACACUGGAACUGAGACACGGUCCAGACUCCUACGGGAGGCAGCAGUGGGGAAUAUUGGACAAUGGGCGCAAGCCUGAUCCAGCCAUACCGCGUGGGUGAAGAAGGCCUUCGGGUUGUAAAGCCCUUUUGUUGGGAAAGAAAUCUUGCCGGUUAAUACCUGGCGAGGAUGACGGUACCCAAAGAAUAAGCACCGGCUAACUUCGUGCCAGCAGCCGCGGUAAUAC